rnacentral:hammerhead_ribozyme from 1 species
AUCUAGCUGAAGAGUCCCAAAUAAGACAAAACAUGCGUUCUAGAU